rnacentral:lncRNA from 1 species
AAACAUACUACCACAUCAAUUAUCUCACAUAGUGGAACGACACCUGCUGAUGAUGAUUCAGGCCACAUAAUUAUGGUUUUGAAACAGUGUAAGACAAACAUUUCUCAUAUGUACCAUACAUAUCUUUGCAAAAAGUCAAAUAUGAGGGUAAGGGGAUAAAGGAAAACAGUAAGGAAAAACUAAGGCAAACACUCGUACAGUCAGCUCUUCAGCUCAUACUUCCAAGAGGUAAUGUGGAUUUCUGCUUUGCAGAGCCAUCUGAACAACAGUCUUAUUAAGCUGAGGACCCAGUGAUACCGAAGCAUUAAUUGUACUGGAGUACCAGAAUGCUGGCCAUGUGCAGGGACGCUGAUAAGACUCCAUUGGGAGUAACAUGAAUGCAGGAAGCUAUCUACACUUUAAGACUAAAAGCACGCCACAGCUUUCAUGGCAGAUUCUCAUGGCAGGGUUAAGAUGCAGAGCUAUCUGAGUUCCACAGAUGUACAAAGAUGUUAUGAAAAACUUUCAUACUGUCAAAUGCAUGAAUGUGAGGAACCCAAGCCAAGAAAAGGAGGACAAGGAUGGAGCAGGAAACUGAACCAGGAACAAAUGUUGGAAUCCUGAAACAUCUUGCUGCUGGGAAAUGAAGUACAUUCAGGUAACACUAUGCUUUUGUAAUGGUUUGGCAAACAGACAUUCCAUACCUGUGUGUAUUUAUAUCCUAUUUAUUGUUCACAUAGUUCAGAGCUUUCACACUGCCAGGUGCUGAUGACUGAAACUCACAUCAUCUGUGUGGUGCUGGGAUAAUUGAAUGGGUAGGGGUUGAAAACCCCAUUGUCAAAUCUUAUUACUCACCAGAAACUAAAUCAAUAUGUUCAGAAGUGACAUGUUGCAAACAAAAUUGCUUUCGCAAUUCUAUUUGCACCUGGCUUUAAGCCAGAGGAGAGUCAUGUAGAUAGAAAACAGGGAUUAGCUGUAAAAGACCUGAAUUCAAAUUUUUGUUCCUCACAGAUUCACAGGGUGGUCUUUGGCAAAUCACAUUCUUGGAAGUGCUUCAUUUUCUAACAAUGAGCAAUGAUAUUGACCAUCUCAUAUGUCUAUUGAGAGAUUAUGAGGCACCUCAGGAAAAUUAUAUUUUGGGCACACUACAUGCUAUAAUAUCUAGAUACUAAGGAAGAGAUAAUUCUACUGGAUUGGUCUACUUAUUGUGAUGAUUUUGUAUGGCACCAAAAAUAUUAUGAGUAAAGAAA